UACAGAGGGUGCGAGCGUUGUCCGGAAUCACUGGGCGUAAAGGGCGCGUAGGCGGUUUUGUAAGUCGGGGGUGAAAUGCCGCGGCUCAACCGCAGCGCUGCCUUCGAGACUGCAAGGCUGGAGCACGGUAGAGGAGGAUGGAAUUCCCGGUGUAGCGGUGGAAUGCGUAGAGAUCGGGAAGAACACCAAUGGCGAAGGCAGUCCGCUGGGCCGUUGCUGACGCUGAGGCGCGACAGCGUGGGGAGCAAACAGG
rnacentral:rRNA from 1 species